rnacentral:snoRNA from 1 species
GGAUCGAUGAUGAGAACAACUACCUGAGGACACUGAGGGUCUCAUAACAAAAGGCAAUCUGAGGUCC